CUCUUCCUUUCAACUCUUCUCAUUGGAUUGGAUCUCUAACAGGCUUAUAUUUUAUUGGGUAAACUUUCAGUUUUUGCAUUGUUGACGAGGAAAUCUUAGGUUCAUUUUAAAUUUUUAACCAUGGAACAUCAAGAUUUAGUGGAUAAGAAUGAAGAGAGCGUUCAAUCGAUCGAAAAGGUUAGUAAUACUGAAGAUCGGGAUAAGAUGAAUGAGGUUGAAGGUGUGAAAUCUGAGUUGAUUAAUGUUGAUGAGAGCAAGGAUUUGCAAUCUGAAACUAGUUCUAUUCAAGAAGUGCAAGGGAGUAAUUCCAAGGGAUUUGAAGCUGAAAU